rnacentral:misc_RNA from 1 species
AAGUCGUAACAAGGUUUCCGUAGGUGAACCUGCGGAAGGAUCAUUACUUUCAGUACUUUGGGGGCUGUCAGUCUAUAUCACUAUAGCAAGCCUCCUCUCUGAAACCCUUGUCUUUUGCGUACCUUAUGUUUCCUCGGCGGGCUUGCCCGCCGGUUGGACAACCUUAAAACCUUUUUAAUUUUCAAUCAGCGUCUGAACAAACAUAAUAAUUACAACUUUCAACAACGGAUCUCUUGGUUCUG